CCUAUGCAACCCUCCCACGGGAGAGCUUAAUUUCUGUCCCUCUAUGAAGGCCAAAGGAAGGACACUCCCCUGUGUGUUAAAAGUAGGCGACUGGGGUCUCAUGAUUGAAGGUUCAUGGGUUCUGACUUAGAACCUUUUUACUGCCUUCUACUCAUCUCGAAACCCCGCCCUAAGAGCCACACCCCAGAGGCCUCCGUCACACAGUCAAAAUCUGCCUCCAUCCUGUCCCAAGAUGGCUGAUCAGCUAAAGAUGCUUGCCACUAAGCUUAAGUUCCAGCACGGCGGUGGUAGCCCAGUCUUUAAUCCUAGUGGGCAGAUCUCCGAGUUCAAGGCCAGCCAGACCUACAGAGCAGAUUCCAGAACAGCCAAAGGUGCACAGAGAAACCCUGUCUUGAAAAAUAACAACAACAAAAAACAAACAAACAGCACUUGGGAGGCAGAGGCAGGCGGAUCUCUGAGUUCGAAGCCAGCCUGGUCUACAGGGGCCCAUUUGACUGACAAGGGAAGCUGCCUAGCCCCGAUCUAGUGGAUUUCCAUCUGUGUGGGGUGAGACUUCAGGAAGAUGAGAAACAGCUGCUUCCGGAAAAAAGCCCUGCUAUCUUGCCAGCAUCCCUUAU